rnacentral:lncRNA from 1 species
CUCCUGACGUCCCUCAGAUGCACGUGAUUGACCACACCAAGGGGCAGCCGUCCGAAGGCGAGAGCAGGAAUGUUUUGACCGAGUCUGCGAGGAUCGCCCGUGGCAAAAUCACAGACCUGGCCAACCUCAGUGCAGCCAACCAUGAUGCUGCCAUCUUUCCAGGAGGCUUUGGAGCGGCUAAAAACCUGUGCGUAUUUGAGCUCCAAGGUCUUCCGCUUUCCAUGUGGAGCAGAUGGGAAGGGGGUGCACCUGUCUGCUGUCCAAUGUGGUCAGUGGAGCGGCGAUGGGAGGGGGUGGUGAUAGGAGCAGUCUCUGGGUUUAGGGUCUGGGCAGGGCACGUGCCUGCCCUCUGACUUGGGAGCUGUUCUUAGGGUUGGGUCUUAGGUAGCGUUGUAGCGAGCCAUGCUUUUGUUUCUGCUUCUCUGCUGCCUCUUCUCUCAGCAUUCCUGGUACCCAGCAGCUUGUC